GGCCCGUUGUUAUGACGACACGGUCGUAAAUCCGCCAUCUUCCUGCGGCUCGUUGCGACAUGGAGGGAGCGAUGGCAGUGCGGGUGACGGCCGCUCAUACGGCAGAAGCCCGGGCCGAAGCCGGGCGUGAAGCGGGUGAGGGCGGGGUCGCAGCAGCGGCUUCUGUUCCCGGCGGCUUCCUCCGCCUCCCAGCGCCCUUCGGGGAGGAGGGUAACGAGGCUCUACCGUGCUGGCACGGUCAGGGUGGGGCGGGACAGCCUGGGCUAGUGGCAUACCGAGGGCCGAACCUUCGGGUGCGCAGACCCUCCUGGACCGAGCUCCCCUCGGGCCUCGCAAGCCUUCCCCGACCCUCGCAGGCUUCCCUGCGGGGCGCCUGCCACCCGCUGGGCCUCUGAGCGUUUUCAGGUGCCCGCAAAAGUCUGGAGGUCCCAGAUUGGACCGAGGCAAACGCUGAUUGCCCAGCCCUGGGGCCCUUGCUGCCCCGGUAUGCAAUGAAAUGGCUUGGAUAAGAAGAGGACCAAGAUGAAGCAAGGAGAAGCACUAGCUUUAAAUGAAAGGAUUAUGUUGUCUCUUGUCAGUACAGGAGAUUGUCCUUUCAUCAUCUGUAUGAUCAUUGCCUUCCACACUCCAGAUAAGCUCUGCUUCAUUCUUGACCUGAUGAACGGGCUCCGUGAUGAUCUGGGAUCCUGAGUAAGCUUCUCAGCAGAUUUUUAGCUGUGCCUAAGCAUAAAUGUUACAAAUGAUUAUACCAGGGGCACCCAUGGGUACAUGACUCCUGAGGUGCUGCAGAAGGGGACAGCCUAUGACAGCAGUGCCGACUGGUUCUCCCUGGGCUGCAUGCUUUUCAAACUUCUGAGGGGAAAACCACAUUUCAGUGCCACAGUUUCACUGACAUGAAGAUCAGACAAAUCAGAAUGUGGAGCUCUCAGAUGCCUUCUCCCCCGAGCUGAAGUCACUACUGGAGGGCCUGCUACAGCAUGAAGUGGGCAAGCAGCUGGGCUGCCAUGGAGGCAGGUAGGCCCUGUACCUGCCUUUUAGUCUCUACCCCAAAAGCAGGACAAUUAUUGUUAAUAUACCAGACGGCAUUCAUAGUCCUUAAAAUUCCAUUUUGACCUAAGGGGGGAGAAAUCACACAGGGAAUAUAUAUAUAUAUUUCCCUAUGUGUUUUAUAAUUAAGAGGUGGAAGGAGUCAAUAACUUUUUAACUAUAACAAUCAAACUUGUAGAUGAUGGAGAUGGAUUCUGAUAUUUUAUAGUCCAUCUCCAUAAGUUUUAGUCAUGCUUUUAUUUGUCAUUUUGGGAGGUUGAUGUUAUCAGGUUCUCACAUAUAUUCUCUCAUGCAUAACCAACUAACUGCCAACUUAUACGUGCUUUCUGCCCCCCCCUCCCUCCCCGGUCAUACCUGCAAAGCUUAUAGAGAAGAGCUUACACUCAUUCUUCCCAUUUCUCCUCACACCCAGGCUUGCCUUACAUAGAAACCACCAUUAACAUGUUACUUGUGUGUGUGCCACAUGUGUGUAUGUGUGUAUUCUUUAGAGUAGCAUGUAUGUAUGUACACGUAUUACACCUGUAUGGUAUAUAUAUGUUAUAGAGAUAGCUAAAUAUUAUCCUCAUGUGUAUUUGCUUAUUUAUUAGUUUAUCUGGGAGAUUGUAACAAAUAAAGAUGUAGCUCACUUA